rnacentral:rRNA from 1 species
UCCGUAGGCGGGCGAUUAAGUCAGGGGUGAAAGUCUGCGGCUCAACCGUAGGACUGCCCUUGAUACUGGUUGUCUUGAAUCGUUGUGAAGUGGCUAGAAUGAGCAGUGUAGCGGUGAAAUGCAUAGAUAUUGCUCAGAAUACCAAUUGCGAAGGCAGGUCACUAACAACGUAUUGACGCUGAGGGACGAAAGCGUGGGGAGCGAACA